GUAUUGUAUCGCGUUAAACGCAUAAAAACAUUCCAUGAGACAUCGCUACGGCGUGUGUGUAAAGACGUAGAGCUACAGAAGGAAGACGGGGUCUUCCGAACCAUAGGACUACAGAGGGUGCACAGGUGUGAGUGGAUGCGUAAACAGAGCGUGCACGUGCCCCCGUUUGGAGGCCAGCAACAACCCGUGUUUGACGAUUCGGUAAUGAUCCUUCCGCAGGUUCACCUACGGAAA
rnacentral:misc_RNA from 1 species